rnacentral:rRNA from 1 species
GACGAACGCUGGCGGCGUGCUUAACACAUGCAAGUCGAACGGUGAAGCGCCUUCCUUUUUGGUGGGUGUGGAUGAGUGGCGAACGGGUGAGUAACACGUGAGUAACCUGCCCCCUUCUUCUGGAUAACCGCAUGAAAGUGUGGCUAAUACGGGUUAUUCUGGGUCUGUCGCAUGAUGGGUCUGGGAAAGAUAUUGUUUCGGUGGGGGAUGGGCUCCAGCCCUAUCAGCUUGUUGGUGAGGCGAUGGACUACCAAGGCGGUGACGAGUAGCCGGGCUGAGAGUGUGGACCAUCAAACUGGUAAGGAGACGCGGCACAGGCUACUACGGGAGGCAGCAGUGGAGUAUGUUGCACAAUGGGAGGGAGUCUGUUGCAGCGACGCCGCGUGAGGGAUGGAGGCCUUCGGCUUGUGAACCUCUUUCGCCAGUGAAGCAGGCCUGCCUCGUUUGUGGGUGGGUUGAAGGUAGCUGGAUAAGAGGCGCCGGCUAACUACGUG